GCACAUUUGCAAUAAACUCUCUCUCAUAAGUGGAUAAUGUUUCGUUUCUAGGACCUAAUGAUUGGCUGGAGAAGGCAAUAGGUUUACCUUAUUUGGCAUGACUGGGGCUGUGGAGAUCUCAUCACUUGUUUCAAUUGACUAAAAGCAUCUUGGGCACUAGGCUUCCAGCACAAGAGCAAAGAACAACCCAUGAAACAAGUACUGCAACCUAUACUUAUCUGUGUAACGUGAAGAUCGUCCACGGUGAAAGGUCAAAAUUUGCUUUCAAUAGCGCGAGAACUUCACUCAGGGAAGACACCUUGAAAUUUGGUUUCAAUUCGAAAUUGGCAUUUCUGGAGAGUCGUACCUCCCACUUUCAUCAAGCAAGCACGCAACAAGCUCCCGCGCGCUUCCCACAAACCACCUGCAAAGUCAGGCAAUCAAUUGUUCAUGGCUUCUCCAAGUACUAUUUAUGUCACAUCAAACAAGAUUAGACAGAAGCUCAGAAAUGUCAAACAUUGUGCAGGUUCAAUGCAGAUGUUCAGGUCCAUUUGAUUAUCGGUUCAUUCCUUCAAUUAUAAAAUCAUUCUAUUCCUUUCCA